rnacentral:tRNA from 1 species
GGCCCUGUGGCUUAGUUGGCUGAAGUACCUGCCUAGUAAAUAGAAGAUCCUGGGUUCAAAUCCCAGCAGGGCCU